AUUUAAAUAGCUUAUAAUUAGAGUAUGACACUGAAGAUGUUAAGGAAAUUUUUUGAAUUUUUAAAUA
rnacentral:tRNA from 1 species